GUAUCAACGUUCGUUCUUGGCUGGCGUCGCGCCCCUCCCGGGACGCCGGUCGACGCCAAUCGAGUGCGCGUAUACCUACGUGCACGUUACCUGCGAACCUGAGAGGAGAACCCACCUCUGCCUUUCUGCCUGAAUCUCGACUGUGCGCACCUCUACGUGAUCCUGUAGAUCAACAAUUAGAUAUUAUAUGACACUUUAAUUUUCGCGCGGUUUUGUAAAUAAGAACCUCGCCGCUACAGCCAAUUAAAAAGCCCCUAGAUGAACCAUGAUGCGUCAUUCUUCAGUGGGAAAUUAUCGUGAUUGCUACGUAUCGCUCGAGUUGCUCAAUUAUACAAUUAUUGUUCAAUUAUAACUUUGAAAAAAAUUUGACUAUGAAGAAAAAAUGCAUACGUCAUUCAUAAUUUACUCAAGAAUUUAUUCAUAAUUUUUCUGCAAAUAUGGUAAAAAAUGGUUAUUAGGUGAUUAGAGGAAUGAAUUUUAAAAAAAUACAUAUUUUAAUAUGGAUGCCUUAAUCAAUGCAGAAUUGGUAAAAUUUUAUACGUUUUCUUUUUAUUGUAUUACUAAUCGCAUAUAUUGUCGUUAAAUAUAUAAUAUAAUAAUUAUAAAAUAAAAAUAGAGAUAAAUGAAUUUCUUAAUAUGAUUUGUCUUUAUUCAAGAUUUACUGUUAAAUAAUAGCUUUUAAAAAUCAUCAGUAUUUUUGAAACGAGUAUUCCAUAAGUAUAUUUAAAAAAUUUUCCUUAUUUCUCUCUUCCCAUUAAUUCAAUUUUAGUUUUAGGAAAUAUUUGAGACCGAGCGCAAUGCGGUCGAUAGAAUCAGUGUUUAUUUCGUAAAAGUUUUUAUAUUUUUUGAAGUGUUUGAAAUUCUAUUUAAAUUAUAAUAGUUUCGCGAGAUUAAAAUCAGUGUUUUUUUCGCCGAUUGUAACUUAAACGGUCGCGUUAAGGUUAUUUUACUUGUUCUUUUUUUAUUUUUAAAUUCGUUUCCGGUAUAUAUUCAAAUCAGUAUUUCAAGAAGAUAAAUCAAUCGUACUUUAUGCAAAAAGAUGUUUUCCAGACCUCAAGGCUUGUUAUUUAGUCUUCUCGAUGACUUUCCACGAUGAUAACAUUGAUGGCAGUUUUUCGCAUCUAAUGAUUUUUCAACAUGAACAUCGGAGCUACGAGUUAUCCAGCCGGUCCGCGCUUCCAGACAGACGUAUAGAUCGCGGCCCAUAAAUAACAAGGAAGGGAAGGGCCCUCGUCUUUAAUACGAUCCCCGUUUCCCGAACUCAUAACCGUUGAUCUUCCGCUGGAAAUUCACCAGGAAACGCGACAAAAGUUCACCGCGCAAGAUGCACACGAUGUAACAUUCAACAAACACCGGUAGACAAUGUUCCAAACUAUACAACAUACAUUUUGACAAGUUCCAGUUUCGCUUCGCAAGCAGCCGGAAAUUGAACACCGGCUGUGUUUCCUGUAUCCACGGCGGCGAGCCAGAUUCCGCGAUGGUAGUUUUACCGCGCUUUCAAGACAAACCCUGAGACGAUGAAACGGAUUUACACGAUAAAAUUAUCACGUGAAAAGAAAAUAAGAAGAUCGUCGAAAUUGAAAAAUCCACCACAUGCUAUAUCGAAUAUAUAUAUGUUUGUGGAACAUCUUUGGAAGGAUUCUAGAAGCCAAGGCAAGUACAAAAGUUCAUAUGUAUAUACACAAAAAUAUCGAUCGAAACUUGUUCAUUAAGUUACGAGCAAUU